AUGGCUUCUGAGGAAAUCAAAUCAAAGAAGCAAAGAAAUGAUGACUGCAUUAUAAACAGUCUCCCAGGGGACCUCAUUGAGCGGAUAUUUUUGAGGCUUCCAGUCAGCACUUUGUUGAGGGGCGUCAGUGUCUGCAAGCACUGGCACAACUUCAUCCGUGAUCCACAGUUUGUCGUAUCACACCUUCAGUGUGCGCCCCGAGAUGUCCUUCUGUUCUUCCAGCAAGAGUCGGUCUCAGGCGAGCCCUACCCUAGUGAUGCUAUCCUAAUUGACGAAGCCUGGUCGCCAUCGACACGCGCAGUGCCAGUGAUUGGGCCUGAUGAUUUCCUUUUUGGUUCAUGCAAUGGACUCCUUGGCUUAUACACAAAGACAUCAACUAUCAAGAUAGCUAACCUUGCAACUGGUGAAUGUCUACAUCUUGAGAAACCUGCGAAGAAUGUGAAGGGUGAUCACUUCUCUUUCUACAGCUUUGGAUUUCAUCCCGUGACAAAAGAAUACAAGAUUACACACUUCCUUGGUGAUUGUGUUGAGGGUCGCCCCCGUAAUAAAGACAGCUUCAGUGUCAUUCAAGUUUACACGCUUGGUGAUGAGAAAUGGAAAGAUAUCCGUACUCCAGAAGCUCUUAGCUUGAUCGCUGUAAGAAACUCUGGAGUUGUCAAUGUUGAUGGCAAAAUUUAUUGGUUGACUGAAGAAAUGUUAGCUAGCUGGCAGCAUGCGGUUAUGUCCUUUGAUCUCAGGGAAGAAAGUUUUGCAAUAAUUCAACUGCCAGCAGCACGUGAAGAUCAUGAUUAUUAUGGUCCUCGUAAGUUCUGGAUCAGAGAUAUAGAUGGGAAAAUAUGUAUAGUAACUGCUCAAACAGGUCGUUAUGCUCCCAGAGCUCUUGCUGGUGAGCUGCAGAUCUGGACACUCGACAACACGGUAGAGCAACAAAGGUGGAGCCAGAAGUACAAUAUUAAGAACCCACCAAAUUACAUUUCAGGUCCACAUUUUGUUCACAGGGAUAGGAUCCUCGCACAGCUUUGCAGCGAUAACGUAUAUGCGUAUGAGUUGUUCGGCGAGAACUUUGAUGUUAACCUGUGUAAGGGGGUAAACCUGUUAGAUUUCAGCCCCCGCAAGCCGUACAACAUGCAAUCCUACAUAUGUGUGAAGUCACUUGUACGUUUAGAUGUAUACAAGAAGGCUGGCAUUGUACAUAGACCAAAACAGCGUGAAGGCUGGCAAUUGAAGAAGUGGGAGACAUGGAAGCGUAGGCUUAGCAAGUUAGUGGAUAUGCAGUGCCAGAUGCACAAAUUUGAGCACAACUUACUUGAAAUCGCAGAAACAAUGGGGGGAAGGUGCCAGUUUUUGAAGGAUAAGCAACAUAACAUAGCAGAACAUGUACUCACGGAACUCAAACAGGUGUCAGGUGUUACAGCACAAACCAGAUAA
rnacentral:rRNA from 1 species